AGGAGGAGGAGGAGGAGGAGGGGGAGAGAAAAUUGGCCCGCAUGAUUGAAAUAUCUGAUGCGCAUUAACGUGGCGGCGCAAAAACAAUACAAAACCUAUAACUUUGCUCAGGCAAAACUGCGGAAAGCUGCAGGAUGAAAACGGCGACAGCUAAGUUCACGAUUAUGCGGAAGGUGGGGAGAAUAUUGAGCAGCAUCGGCGGCGGCCAACAGCAUCGGCGACUAUGAAUGGAGAGAAUGAAGAAUUUCCUUAAGGGUUUCGAAGAGGUGCUAACGACCCCAAUCAGCGCGCCGUUUUACAUUUGAAAAAAGUAGGAAAUGCGGCCAGCGGGUGAAUGCAAAGAGAGCAUAUAUUCACAAGCAUGAAGGGUUCUCCAUGCUGUCUCACGUUGGAUCAAAGGUCAGGGUCAGCUGCAGAGGAGGACAUGGUGUUUGCCCAAAGACACGUCGGUGGACGAUUCAAUAUUGUCAAAUGAGGGAGAUUUUAAAUGCUUGAUAUUGUUUGUUCAUUUAAGUUGC